UACGUAGGGUGCAAGCGUUGUCCGGAAUUAUUGGGCGUAAAGCGCGCGCAGGCGGCUAUUUAAGUCUGGUGUUUAAACCUUGGGCUCAACCUGAGGUCGCACUGGAAACUGGGUGGCUUGAGUACAGAAGAGGAAAGUGGAAUUCCACGUGUAGCGGUGAAAUGCGUAGAUAUGUGGAGGAACACCAGUGGCGAAGGCGACUUUCUGGGCUGUAACUGACGCUGAGGCGCGAAAGCGUGGGGAGCAAACAGG
rnacentral:rRNA from 1 species